rnacentral:misc_RNA from 1 species
UUCACUGGGUGGAUAAACCUGAAGCUGACCGCGAUCCGGUUCCACGCGUUGAUGGUCGCCACCAGCAUGGUCAGCUUGACGAUCUCCUCAUCCGAGAAGCUGCCGCGAACCUGCUCGUAAACAUCGUCGGGAACGUUGGUCUGUGAGAUCAGCGUCACGGAUUCAGUCCAGACAAGCGCCGCCCGUUCGCGAUCGGUAUAGAGCGGCGAUUCACGCCAGGCGCUGAGCAGAUAGAGCCGCUCCUCUGUUUCUCCGAGC